GGUGGCUCAGUGGUAGAGUGCUUGUCUUGCAUGCAUGGGGCCCUGGGUUCGAUUCCUCAGCACCA
rnacentral:tRNA from 1 species